rnacentral:rRNA from 1 species
GACGAACGCUGGCGGCGCGCCUAACACAUGCAAGUCGAACGAGAGAUGAGGAGCUUGCUCUUCAGAUCGAGUGGCGAACGGGUGAGUAACGCGUGAGGAACCUGCCUCAAAGAGGGGGACAACAGUUGGAAACGACUGCUAAUACCGCAUAAGCCCACGGCUCGGCAUCGAGCAGAGGGAAAAGGAGUGAUCCGCUUUGAGAUGGCCUCGCGUCCGAUUAGCUAGUUGGUGAGGUAACGGCCCACCAAGGCGACGAUCGGUAGCCGGACCGGGAGGUUGAACGGCCACAUUGGGACUGAGACACGGCCCAGACUCCUACGGGAGGCAGCAGUGGGGAAUAUUGCACAAUGGGGGAAACCCUGAUGCAGCGGCGCCGCGUGGAGGAAGAAGGUCUUCGGAUUGUAAACUCCUGUUGUUGAGGAAGAUAAUGACGGUACUCAACAAGGAAGUGACGGCUAACUACGUGCCAGCCGCCGCCGUAA